rnacentral:ncRNA from 1 species
GCGUCAUAACGUCCCUGAAACUGUUCUUCCUACGGCCUUCCGGCUAUGGAAGGCGGUCGUUAGGGCGGCCUUGGAAACGGGGCCGUCUCCCGUGAUGGAAAGGGGAUAGCGAAAGUGCGUG